AUGGAUCUUCUCCAACAUCUUCGCUUCCCGGUCAGAUUUCGGGAUUGGGUCGCUGCUUUGCUGUCCACGUCCACCUCGAGAGUGUUGAUCAACGGGGUGCUGGGAGACCCUCUGAAGCAUGGAUGCGGCCUUCGGCAGGGUGACCCGCUGUCUCCCCUUCUUUUUGUCCUCGCCAUUGAUCCACUCCAUCAUCUCCUU
rnacentral:rRNA from 1 species